UUUUGAAUCAGCGGCGUUGUUAUUGACGCCAUAUUGCUGGUGUGGGAGAGUCACAGAGGGAAGCGCUGCCGCCAUCGCUCUUCAUCGGCGGCCCCCAGCCGGCGAGCCGAGCCCAGCUCCGCACCUACCGUCCCAGCAACCGCCCCGGGAACGGCCGGGGGCGGAAUUCGCGGGGGCGGGGCGGGCGGAGAGCGAAUCCGUCGGCGAAGGAGCCGCCGGGGGGGCCGGAGCCGCUCCCUGGAGAGGGCGAUAGGGAGGAGGCGGAGGCCCUGACGCAGCUCCCCCCCGCCAUCCGCCCCAGACGGUGGGGAAGGCGCCUCUGGGCUGGGCCGGCUGCUGCCGUCUCCCCCUCCCCUCGCACCGAGCCCCCGUACCCCGCUCUCCCCGGGUCUCCGCAGCCCCCGGCCCGCUCCCCCCCGGCCAUGGCUUGCGGCGCCACGUUGAAACGGACUCUGGAUUUCGACCCUCUGCUGAGCCCGGCCUCCCCGAAGCGGAGGCGAUGUGCGCCAUUGUCAGCCCCGGCCUCCUCGGCCGCCGCCGCCUCCUCCUUCGCCGCCGCCUCGCCGCAGAAAUACCUGCGCAUGGAGCCCUCGCCCUUCGGGGAGGUGUCCUCCCGCCUCACCACAGAACAAAUUCUGUACAACAUAAAACAGGAGUACAAACGCAUGCAGAAGAGGAGACAUUUAGAAAAUAGCUUCCAGCAGACAGAUCCAUGUUGUUCUACUGAUGCACAGCCACAUGCAUUUCUCCUUACUGGACCAGCUUUGCCAGGUACUUCAUCUGCAGCAUCGUCACCAUUGAAAAAAGAACAGCCCCUGUUUACUCUCAGACAAGUUGGAAUGAUCUGUGAACGUUUGCUGAAAGAACGUGAAGAGAAAAUCCGUGAAGAGUAUGAAGAAAUUUUGACCACAAAACUUGCAGGAGGAUGGGACUUUCAUGGGGGGGACCCUCAGACUGGGACUCUUCUGUGGAAACCAAGAACUACUACUACAUUUUUGGUUGAAGAUUGCUUUCUUUAACCUUGCCUCUUCUAAGAACAGUGCAGAGCACUUAAAAAACAAUACGACGCAUUUGUGAAGUUCACGCAUGAUCAGAUCAUGCGACGAUAUGGAGAACAGCCUGCUAGUUAUGUUUCAUGAAUCAUGUUUUCUGCAUAUGUGGGCUGCCCUAUACACCCUAAUUGUUGCAAGCUGUCCCAGUAAAAGACUUGCAGCAAUGCCAUAUUUUCCCCCUUCCCCCACCUCCCCCUACCCCCUGUGAACACAGGUUAUUUCAAGCUUUUGUCAGUGGCAACCACUCUUAUGCAGCAACUGGUUUUGGAGUGCUCCCUGAUGUCAGUACCACCUGGAUGUGGACCUUUGCUACCUGUAAUAAUACCAGUGGCCUCAUUUGCUGUAUCAUUACAAUUUGGCUUCUUAUGUUAAUACGUUUGAAAAAGUAAAGGAUUAAAAGCUGGUGUUCUAGAACUUGCCCUUCACUGGUUGUGUAAAUAAAAAUGUAGAAUGACACUUC